AUGCCAAAAUACAUCCCUCACGCAGCCCUACCCGGGAGCCGAGCCCGUUGGCCAUGCCGCCGGCGUUCCUCCGCACCACGCCUGCCGCCGGCGCCACCUCCUCCUCCGCCGGAGACUUGGUUCUGGGGGGGACGAUGCCCACUGCGGAGGAAACCGAAAUGCUGGGCUGAACCCCCCCCCAGGGACCAACUGGCCCAGGGACAGCAGGAGCCCAUGGAGGGGGAGUUGUUGCCCCAUCGCUGGCAGAGUCCCUGCAAGACGCCGGGUGCACUUGCCCAUGACCAGGGCCCGACCGCGCUGCAUGCUGCAAAGGGAAAAGCUGGAGACCUGGCAGCAAACGCUCCCCGCGGCUCCGAGGCGCAGGGACAGCAGGUCCCGUCCGCAGCGGGCAGCCCCCGGGAGCGGGUGCACCGGCGUCCCCCAGGCUGCGUACCUUUGUUGAGAGCCGCUUGCUUCUCCGCCUCCUGCUCCUGCCGGCUCUGCAGCAGCGGCCCCUCGGCGGGGGAGCCGGGGGCAGCCGGCCGGGGCCCGUCCUUCUUGCUCUGCUCCAAGCUCACCUUGGGCUGCGGAGGGAAAGCAGGUUCCUGGGUGAGCCACAGACCCGCACGGGAGCCGCGCUCUGCCUGGGGACGGACCCAACGCUCUCUGCGGCCACGGGGCCACGUACGGACCACAAACAUGCUCCCGGCAAGCAGACGGACACACGGAUGCCAGCCGGGCGGUGCCAGCCUGGAGAAGCCAAACCCGCAUGCCCCAGACGUGCUCCACCAGAGACCAGGCUGGGAGGGCUCUGCAGCUCUUGCACCAGCUGCAGCCCCCUGGUUCAUCGGGGCCGGGCACGGCAGAUUGCCACGUGGGAAAAGCUUCCUGCACAGGCAACGGGGGUCCUUCCCCUCCCGCUGCCCCCGGGCACGGUGUGCCCAGGGCACCAGCACUGGCACAGAGGUGCCAGGGGAUGGCGGGGUACAGCAGGAGCCCCGCGGGUCUCUGCAGAACUGCCCCGCGCUUUGCACGGAGCUGGCACGUCCCGAUACCCCUUGCACCGCCUGCAUCAACACGCGGCCGCCAGCGCGCUGCCCUGCAGGUGCACGGCUGCUGGUGGCCAUCGCCUGCGCCCACAGCGGGGGUCCGUAA
rnacentral:lncRNA from 1 species